GGCAGGUUCUUUCGUAUUGGCGUGUUGGUCACCUGGUCAGGUUCGGAAGGAAGCAGCCAAAUCAAUUUCGCUAAGUACCGGAAUGUAGCUUGUCUCC
rnacentral:SRP_RNA from 1 species